rnacentral:rRNA from 1 species
GACGAACGCUGGCGGCGCGCCUAACACAUGCAAGUCGAACGGUGAAGAGGAGCUUGCUCCUCGGAACAGUGGCGGACGGGUGAGUAACACGUGAGCAACCUGGCUCUAAGAGGGGGACAACAGUUGGAAACGACUGCUAAUACCGCAUGACGUAUCGGGAUGGCAUCUUCCUGAUACCAAAGAUUUUAUCGCUUAGAGAUGGGCUCGCGCCUGAUUAGAUAGUUGGCGGGGUAACGGCCCACCAAGUCGACGAUCAGUAGCCGGACUGAGAGGUUGAACGGCCACAUUUGGAGUGAGACACCGCCCAGACUCCGACGGGAGGCAGCAGUGGGGGGUAUUGGACAAUGGGGGAAACCCUGAUCCAGCGACGCCGCGUGAGGGAAGAAGGUUUUCGGAUUGUAAACCUCUGUUGCCGGAGAAAAAAAUGAUGUUUUCCGUUUAGAAAGCCACGGCUAACUACGUG